GAGUUUCACUCCCAACCCCUGUGUACAUACCUUAAUGUUGCCUCGGCGGAUCAGCCCGCGCCCCGUAAAACGGGACGGCCCGCCAGAGGACCCAAACUCUAAUGUUUCUUAUUGUAACUUCUGAGUAAAACAAACAAAUAAAUCAAAACUUUCAACAACGGAUCUCUUGGUUCUGGCAUCGAUGAAGAACGCAGCAAAAUGCGAUAAGUAAUGUGAAUUGCAGAAUUCAGUGAAUCAUCGAAUCUUUGAACGCACAUUGCGCCCGCUGGUAUUCCGGCGGGCAUGCCUGUUCGAGCGUCAUUUCAACCCUCAAGCCCCCGGGUUUGGUGUUGGGGAUCGGCUCUGCCCUUCUGGGCGGUGCCGCCCCCGAAAUACAUUGGCGGUCUCGCUGCAGCCUCCAUUGCGUAGUAGCUAACACCUCGCAACUGGAACGCGGCGCGGCCAUGCCGUAAAACCCCAACUUCUGAAUGUUGACCUCGGAUCAGGUAGGAAUACCCGCUGAACUUAAGCAUAUCAAUAAGCGGAGGA
rnacentral:sRNA from 1 species